CAUUGUCAGAAUGCUUUUAGUUGUCUGGAGCAAUGCUAAGACACUUGUAAGAAGAAGGAUGCAGUUGUGCUCCAGACUUCCUUCUUAGCUCCUGCCUUUACUAACCACCUGUUCAAUGGCAGUUCUUCGAGGUUCAACAGCAACUAGGGCUUACAUACAUAGAGUAGCACUUGAAGGAGUGGCUGGCCUUGAGGAAGCAGUCAUUUUGAGACUCCUCUUCUGGUGUUUCCAUAAGCAAAGGAAUUGAUGGCUU